GAUGUGCUAGAGACUUGGAGAGGUAAGUGGAAUUCGGUGUGUAGGGGUAAAAUCCGUAGAUACACCGAGGAACACCAAAAGCGAAGGCAGCUUACUGGCCCAAGUUCUGACGCUCAGGGACGAAAGCGUGGGGAGCGAAGAGGAUUAGAUACCCUCGUAGUCCACGCCGUAAACGAUGGAUACUAGCUGUUGGUUCCGCUCGACCGGAAUCAGUGGCGUCGCUAACGCAUUAAGUAUCCCGCCUGUGGAGUACGGCCGCAAGGCUAAAACAUAAAGGAAUAGACGGGGACCCACACAAGCGGUGGAGCAUCUGGUUUAAUUCGAUAUUAAGCGAGGAACCUUACCAGGGCUUGACAUCCUCCGAAUCCAUCCGAAAGGAAGGAGUGCCGUAAGGAACGGAGUGACAGGUGCUGCAUGGUUGUCGUCAGCUCGUGCCUUGAGGUGUUCGGUUAAGUCCGUAAACGAGCGCAACCCUUGUCCUUAGUUGUAUUUCUCUAAGGAGACUGCCCUGCAUAACGGGGAGGAAGGUAGGGAUGACGUCAAAUCAGCAUGGCCCUUAUGUCCUGGGCGACACAGGUGCUACAAUGGCCGGUACAACGAGUCGCUAACCCGCGAGGGGGAGCCAAUCUCUUAAAACCGGUCUAAGUUCGAAUCGGAGGCUGCAACUCGCCUCCAUGAAGUUGGAAUCGCUAGUAAACG
rnacentral:rRNA from 1 species